AUGUUUGCACAAAUAAUCUCCAUCACCAUCUCCACUGAUAUUAAAAGCACGAGUGUGGUGAUCGGUGAUGGCUCCCUCUCCCGGCGCCCCUCUCUCUUCCCUCGUCGGUGUGUUGACAUGUUCAUGGGUUUGGGACAUCGAAAGAACCAAGUUGGGAGUCAAACCGGAGAAGUUCCAGGCACCAGAUCAAGGCCCUUUGGAGAGUUUGAUGGUUUGGCAUUUACCAAAAUGUCCAAAAUGAAGAUCCAAGCCCGCAAAUGCAUUGGGCUUUUUGCUAGCAAUCCAACGAGCCCAAGAACGUCAAAAUCGGAGUUCGUAUCAAGAAAUGGCGAGCAAAAUACGAAGGAGCUCCUGAAUUCCAGACAAAAAGACAACCUUUCAUCCAACCGGAGCCGCUCGUUUGGGCGGUCGUGUGAGCUCCAGAGCGCCACAAAAAUUUACCAGAACUUUUCAAAUUUUGCUCCAAUUUCAUCUUCUGUUUUUCCUAUGAGAUCCUUGACGACCAAGGCUUCUAUUGAACGUAGAUUUGGCUCCCCUUGA
rnacentral:rRNA from 1 species